rnacentral:rRNA from 1 species
GUGGGGAAUAUUGGACAAUGGGGGAAACCCUGAUCCAGCGACGCCGCGUGGGUGAAGAAGGCCUGCGGGUUGUAAAGCCCUUUCGGUAGGGACGAAAGCUUCCGACCUAACACGUCGGGAGGUUGACUUAACCUACAAAAGAAGCACCGGCUAACUCUGUGCCAGCAGCCGCGGUAAUACAGAGGGUGCGAGCGUUAAUCGGAAUUACUGGGCGUAAAGCGCACGUAGGCGGCUUGGUAUGUCGGGUGUGAAAUCCCCGGGCUCAACCUGGGAACUGCAUCCGAAACUGCCUUGCUAGAGUAUGGGAGAGGGAAGUGGAAUUUCCGGUGUAGCGGUGAAAUGCGUAGAUAUCGGAAGGAACAUCAGUGGCGAAGGCGACUUCCUGGACCAAUACUGACGCUCAGGUGCGAAAGCGUGGGGAGCAAACAGGAUUAGAUACCCUAGUAGUCC